UGCUGGUGUGGAUGCUGUCUCCUGAAUGGAACCAUGCUUGUGGCAUUUGGCCUUUCCAUCUGUUUCUGAGUCAUAAAAGCUUAACAUAGUAAGCACUUCAGCAAUCUCACCAGUCCCCGGGUUACAAAUGGAUUUCGUUCCUAUGUCUAUUCGCAAGUUGUUUUGUGUGCAAGUUGGAACACAAUGCAGGACAUUAUAAAACAGCCAUUUGCAAGCGCAGGAAAUGUUUACACAUUGGAUAUUUAGAAUUACACCACUCUAUUGGAUCACAUUUGUGUGUAGUAGCAGCACUAGAUGGUGUUCACGCCAAAUGAGGAGAGAUGAUGUCACAGAAAUUCCCCUCUUGGUACCAAAUUGAAGAGACAAAAUGAUGGAACCAACUGGUAUGUCAUGCUGCAAGUGGUCCCGGUAAGAAGGAGACUGAGAGAGACCUUUACGCCCUCAGAUCCAGCACCAUGAUACAGCGCUGGGAUUAUGAAUGUGUCUCUUAAAGGUAUAUUGCAUAUGAGGUGUGAGACGUAACACAACAGAGACAUGUAUUGUCUAUGAGUUAUGAUUACGUGAGUUAUUCCUUCAGAGUCAUAGAGUCAUACGGCAUGGAAACAGACC